rnacentral:lncRNA from 1 species
CGGUCUUUUAAGUGGGCGUGGCUUUUUGUAGUGGGCGUAGUCAGGGCUUGGUCUUUUAAGUGGGCGUGGCUUUUCGUAGGGGGCGUGGUCAGGGCUCGGUCUUUUAAGUGGGCGUGUCUUUUUAGGGGGCGUGGCCUGCGGCUACGCGUCGCAGAUUUGUGGGCGUGGCCUGAUGUUACGUGGGCGUGGCCAGGGGGUCGGAUGUGGGCGUGGCUUUUGGUGGGGGCAUGCAGAAAUCAAAGCCCACAUCCUGAACGCAGCCCGUGUGCUGUAUGCUCCAUUAGCGGGCUCCAAGGACGGCAGCUCCCCCAGCCCUGCACCCCGCAAGAAACGUGCUGCACACACCAGCCACAGGAAUUCCCAGGGAUUCGGAUGCACAUUCAUUAGGUUUCAUUAGCAUGCUGACCCCCCCCCCUGAUGUCUGAGCAGUCAGAGGUUGGGGGCUCCCCUCCGGGUGGCGGUGGGAUGAAGAAUCGGAGUCUUCCUCGCUGCGAUCUUCUGCCCUUCAGGACGCCUCCUCACCUCCCUGCUGACGUCCUCAGGCUGCUCCCAAACUCCUUAUGUUCUCCACCCCCUCCUGGUCUGAUUGCGCCUGCAGUCCCCAUUCUUCUGACAACUCCACACGUUUGCUUCUGUAAAUUACACCUCGAUCCCCACGUCCUCUGAAGCCCUUCUCUCGUCCUUCACUCUGCUUCCCCUCUCUCUGCUUCCCAUCUCAAUGGUUCCCCUCUCUUUGGUUCCCAUCUCAAUGGUUUCCCAUCUCAAUGGUUCCCCAUCUCAAUGGUUCCCCAUCUCAAUGGUUCCCCUCUCUUUGGUUCCCAUCUCAAUUGUUUCCCAUCUCAAUGGUUCCCCAUCUCAAUGGUUCCCCUCUCCCUGGGUUCCCAUCUCAAUGGUUCCCCUCUCCAUGGUUCCCCUCUCUGCUUCCCGUCUCAAUGGUUCCCCUCUCUUUGGUUCCCAUCUCAAUGGUUCCCCUCUCUCUGCUCCCCAUCUCCAUACUUUCUGCUCACUGAUUCCUCUCUGAUUCCCCUCUCUAUGGUUCCUGUCUCUCUGAGUUCCCAACUCUCUGGUUCCCCUCUCUCUGGUUCCCAUCUCAAUGGUUCCCCUCUCUCUGCUUCCUAUCUCAAUGGUUCCCCUCUCUCUGGGUUUCCAUCUCCAUGGUUUCUGUCCCUGUGGUUCUCCUCUCUUGGUUCCCCUAUGAAUUCCCAUCCCCAUGGUUCCCAUCCCCACGGUUCUGCUCUCUCAGGUUCCUCU